rnacentral:rRNA from 1 species
UACGAAGGGGGCUAGCGUUGCUCGGACUCACUGGGCGUAAAGCGCACGUAGGCGGAUCGUUAAGUCAGGGGUGAAAUCCUGGAGCUCAACUCCAGAACUGCCUUUGAUACUGGCGACCUUGAGUUCGGGAGAGGUGAGUGGAACUGCGAGUGUAGAGGUGAAAUUCGUAGAUAUUCGCAAGAACACCAGUGGCGAAGGCGGCUCACUGGCCCAAUACUGACGCUGAGGUGCGAAAGCGUGGGGAGCAAACAGG